rnacentral:rRNA from 1 species
UACGUAGGGUACAAGCGUUGUUCGGAAUUACUGGGCGUAAAGCGCGCGUAGGCGGAUGAGUAAGUCGAUUGUGAAAGCCCUGGGCUUAACCUGGGAACUGCAGUCGAAACUGCUUAUCUUGAGUGCCUGAGAGGAUGGCGGAAUUCCCGGUGUAGUAGUGAAAUACGUAGAUAUCGGGAAGAACACCUGAGGCGAAGGCGGCUAUCUGGCGGUGCACUGACGCUGAGGCGCGAAAGCGUGGGGAGCAAACAGG